AGAGUUUGAUCAUGGCUCAGAUUGAACGCUGGCGGCAGGCCUAACACAUGCAAGUCGAACGGUAACAUUUCUAGCUUGCUAGAAGAUGACGAGUGGCGGACGGGUGAGUAAUGCUUGGGAACUUGCCUUUGCGAGGGGGAUAACAGUUGGAAACGACUGCUAAUACCGCAUAACGUCUACGGACCAAACGGGGCUUAGGCUCCGGCGCAAAGAGAGGCCCAAGUGAGAUUAGCUAGUUGGUAAGGUAAUGGCUUACCAAGGCAACGAUCUCUAGCUGUUCUGAGAGGAAGAUCAGCCACACUGGAACUGAGACACGGUCCAGACUCCUACGGGAGGCAGCAGUGGGGAAUAUUGCACAAUGGGGGAAACCCUGAUGCAGCCAUGCCGCGUGUGUGAAGAAGGCCUUCGGGUUGUAAAGCACUUUCAGUUGUGAGGAAAAGUUAGUAGUUAAUACCUGCUAGCCGUGACGUUAACAACAGAAGAAGCACCGGCUAACUCCGUGCCAGCAGCCGCGGUAAUACGGAGGGUGCGAGCGUUAAUCGGAAUUACUGGGCGUAAAGCGCACGCAGGCGGUUUGUUAAGCUAGAUGUGAAAGCCCCGGGCUCAACCUGGGAU
rnacentral:rRNA from 1 species